CUGAAAGCGCUCUCCUCUUCUGCUGGAUGUUCAGUCACAUGGAAAAUCUGAUGAUCUCUCUAAAAUGCUUUUCAAAACUAUCCUUCACAGUUCAGCC
rfam:Loxodonta africana cont3.47888, whole genome shotgun sequence.